ensembl:lncRNA
UUAUUUAUCACUUGGGAUGGAAGUAGCCUCACACCAGAGCGCUUGAGAGAGAGAGUUGCGUCAACUCUGUUCACUCCAAUCACCAGCUUUUUACAGCAAUGGCGGAUCGUGGAGCCUCUCAGUAGUUCCCAGAAGUUAGCAUUAUAUACUGGCAGAGCACUAGAAUUACAGCAGAACAGACUUUUUUUGUGAUGUACUUUUAAAAGAGGUGCAAUGUGGUGCAGGGGGCCUCCUCUUUUUGACCAAAGGACGAUGCACAAAGAUGGUGUGAAUAACAAUUGGUCUCCGCCUAGUCUUGGCCUUUUUGGCCAAGAACUGGUCUGCUUCAAAAUGCAGAGUGACUUGAGUUUACUCCCUACACACAACUCUGUUUUAUCUACCCACAUACAGUACAUGUCCCAUAGUGGUUAAAUGCACAGUAUUAGGGAACACUUUAUACAUAGUUAAAACCAACCAAGAACAUGAGACAACAGCCUGAAGACUCUCUGCAAUGAGACAGCACCCUCACCAUGAGUCUCAGCUUUGUGGGGUUUGCAAGUCUUUCGCUGUUCCUUAUUUUUUAAUAAAACUAACAUUAAACUUCCCCAUGGUGCGGUCUUUGUGAGAAAGUGCAAGUAGACUUCAGUAUGAUUACCUCACAAAUAUGUUUGGUGUUUUAAUGUUUUAUUAUAUUUAAAUUGCUCCUGCUCAUUUGAGCCAACCAUUGUCCUCCUCUCCGUGUCAGUGGGGGCACCAUCCAUUCAUGCUCCUUUCUCUGAUCAAUUGGAGCAUCCACAUGCAGCACAGCAAACCACAGUGGACACUAUACAAGGACAACAUGCAGGAAAAGACAGACAAAGCUUGACAUGCUUUUCAGUUUAUUAGAAAUGUAUUUAUAAAUCCAUUGCUGUAAAUAAGCGUAUAGUAAAAGUCAAAAAUACAUACCUAUAUAUGAUUGUGUAUGAACACGUUGUUUUAAGUUGUUUUUAAGUUGAAUGUAUUAUUUAUGAAUGUAUAUUUAAAUA